rnacentral:rRNA from 1 species
UACGUAGGGGGCGAGCGUUGUCCGGAGUUACUGGGCGUAAAGGGCGUGCAGGCGGUGCAGUAAGUUUGGAGUGACAGUACCCGGCUCAACUGGGUAAGGCCUUCGAAAACUGCUGGACUUGAGGGCCAGAGAGGGACAUAGAAUUCCGGGUGGAGUGGUGAAAUGCGUAGAUAUCAAGCAGAACACCUGCGGCGAAGGCGGCCUUCUGGACGAUGACUGACGCUGAGACACGAAAGCGUGGGGAGCAAACAGG